rnacentral:ncRNA from 1 species
GAUCUCUGGAGAAUCUCAUUUUUGAGUGCCGAAGGUGCAAGGCAAACGCCGAAUCUCUCAGGCAAAAGGACAGAGUC